AUGGAUGAGGUCACAAGGGGUAUACAAGGAGAUAUCCCAUGGUGUAUGCUCUUUGCGGAUGAUGUGGUGCUAGUUGACGAUAGUCGGACGGGGGUAAAUAGGAAGUUAGAGUUAUGGAGACAAACCUUGGAAUCGAAAGGGUUUAGGCUUAGUAGAACUAAAACCGAGUACAUGAUGUGCGGUUUCAGUACUACUAGCUGUGAGGAGGAGGAGGUUAGCCUUGAUGGCCAGGUGGUACCUCGGAAGGACACCUUUCGGUAUUUGGGGUCAAUGUUGCAGGAGGAUGGGGGUAUUGAUGAAGAUGUGAACCAUCGAAUCAAAGACGGAUGGAUGAAGUGGCGCCAAGCUUCUGGCAUUCUCUGUGACAAGAGAGUGCCACAAAAGCUAAAAGGCAAGUUCUACAGGACGGCGGUUCGACCCGCAAUGUUGUAUGGCGCGGAGUGUUGGCCGACUAAAAGGCGACAUGUUCAACAGUUAGGUGUGGCGGAGAUGCGUAUGUUGAGAUGGAUGUGUGGCCACACGAGGAAGGAUCGAGUCCGGAAUGAUGAUAUACAAGAUAGAGUUGGGGUAGCACCAAUUGAGGAGAAGCUUGUCCAACAUCGUUUGAGAUGGUUUGGGCAUAUUCAGCGCAGGCCUCCAGAAGCUCCAGUGCAUAGCGGACGGCUAAAGCAUGCGGAGAAUGUCAAGAGAGGGCGGGGUCGACCGAUUUUGACAUGGGAGGAGUCCGUUAAGAGAGACCUGAAGGAUUGGAGUAUCGACAAAGAGCUAGCUAUGGACAGGGGUGCGUGGAAGCUUGCUAUCCAUGUGCCAGAGCCAUGA
rnacentral:rRNA from 1 species